rnacentral:rRNA from 1 species
GACGAACGCUGGCGGCGUGCUUAACACAUGCAAGUCGAACGAGUGGCGGACGGGUGAGUAAUGCUUGGGAAUCUGGCUUAUGGAGGGGGAUAACUACGGGAAACUGUAGCUAAUACCGCGUACCAUAGGAUGAGCCCAAGUGGGAUUAGGUAGUUGGGGAGGUAAAGGCUCACCAAGCCGACGAUCUCUAGCUGGUCUGAGAGGAUGACCAGCCACACUGGGACUGAGACACGGCCCAGACUCCUACGGGAGGCAGCAGUGGGGAAGAUUGCGCAAUGGGGGCAACCCUGACGCAGCCAUGCCGCGUGAAUGAAGAAGGUCUUCGGAUUGUAAAGCACUUUAAGUUGGGAGGCGUUACCAACAGAAUAAGCACCGGCUAACUUCGUGCCAGCCGCCGCGGUAAUUC